GCAUAUGGGAGGGUGAGCGUAUGGAUUGGAUACAGGUAGGUGCAUAUGGAAGGGUGAGUGUAUGGAUUGGAUACAGGUGGGUGCAUAUGGGGGGAGUGAGUUUAUGAACUGGAUACAGGUGGGUGAAUUUGGGGGAGUGAGUGUAUGGAUUGGAUACAGGUGGGUGCAUAUGGGAGGGUGAGCAUAUGGAUUGGAUAUAGGUGGGUGCAUAUGGGAGGGUGAGCAUAUGGAUUGGAUAUAGAUGGGUGCAUAUGGGAGGGUGAGCGUAUGGAUUGGAUACAGGUGGGUGCAUAUGGGAAGGUGAGCGUAUGAACUGGAUAUAGGUGGGUGCACAUGGGAGGGUGAGUGUAUGGAUUGGAUAUAGGUGGGUGCAUAUGGGAGGGUGAGCAUAUGGAUUGGAUAUAGGUGGGUGCAUAUGGGAGGGUGAGUGUAUGGAUUGGAUAUAGGUGGGUAUAUAUGGGAGAGUGAGCAUAUGGAUUGGAUAUAGGUGGGUGCAUAUGGGGGACAGUGAAUGUCUGGAUUGGAUACAGGUGGGUGCAUAUUGGGGGAGUGAGUGUCUGGAUUAGAUACAGGUGGAUGCACAUGGGAGGAAUGAGUGUACAGAACGAAUACAGGUGGAUGCAUAUAUUGGGAGUGAGUAUACAGAGAGGAUACAGGUGGAUUGAGUUGUUACAACCAACGACAGGAAGCACAUGCAAGGCUCUAGGCAUUGCACAAAGCACUCCAUAGGCAAAAUCACACUGGCGCCAAUAGCAAUCCUGGGAGAUGUACUCAUUAUUAAUAAUAUUGUUGUCAUUUUAUAGAGAAGGAACACAGGCUCAGACAUCAGUGCCAUAUCUGAAGACAUUCAGCUAAUAACAGGAUGGAGUCCAAUCUGAAACAACUGUCACGCUGAGCCUAAUUGCUGAAGAUGGUUGAAGGCACCAGGAGGCUGGAGUUUCCUGGAGGUGGUUUGUGGCCAACCGUCAAUUACUUGGGCUGCUGUGCAGUGGGGAUAGAAGGAUGAUUAGAAUCCACAGACAACCCAUUGGCCUUUGUUUACCAUUAACUUCUGUUUUCUCCACCAGCCAAGCUCCUCCAGACCCAGGAGAUGGCUCUUCCCUCUGUGUAGCACACUCUUUCCAGUCAAGGGGUCUUGCACUGCUAUUUCCCCUUCUGCUUUGCUUGGUUCAUUCUUACUGACCCUCCAAAUACUGAAGGAAUGAAUGGAGAAAUAAGUAAAUGAGAGAUGUGGCCAAGAGUCUCCAAGAGAGGAAAUUAAAAAAUCCUAUACCUGUGAGGAACUGGCCCACUUGCAAAAGGCGGACUCAUUUGUCACUGUGUUUGCUGGCUGCUCGCACCACACAGUUUCCAGCCUAGGCAUUAUUUCCAACCUCUUUUUCCAAAGGGUCUUUCUAAGGUACAGAAAAUGGACAUAAAAUCGCCCAACGUAGUUGAGAGGUAAGGAGUAAAAGCCGGAAUUUGAACUCCUAAUCUCCUGCCACGAUUUCAUGCUGCCUCUGGGUAAUCUCCCAGCACGUUGCUUAAUCAGCUGCUGAGUCAUUGAGAGCCGGCAGAACCAGCUUCCUGCUGAGGCAGAGUGGGAGGAGGCCCGUCUGGGAGCAGCACACUGAAGGAAGGGAGGAGGAGGUGAUGUUUGGCACAAUCGGAUUGGUUCCCAUGAGGUCCAGGGCUGCGGCUCCUACAGAAGGCACUUUUUGCAUAUGGUAGGCUUCACGGGGUGCAACCUCUGUGUUGUUAGGAGAACCUCGUGCUUGCUAUGAUGCUCUGCUGUCAUUAUCUUGAAAUUCUUAGUCACAUUAAAACACGGGAGCCUACAUGUUUAUUUUGCACUGGAUCCUGCAAAUUAGCCAGUCCUGGUACUGAGGGCAGGUCCCUGGGUGAGUCUCACACAGCCUCCAUCCUUUGGUAAAGCAGCUUUCCUGAUUUAGCAAAUGCCUUACCAGAAAGCCUUUUCCUUGAAGAUGCUUUAACUUUUGUCUUCCCUGGCAAAGCUGUUUCCUUAUGGUAAAGCACCCAGCUCAUAGCUGAUAUUCAAUCCAUGAAGUAGCUCUGUCAGCAGCUGUCAUCAUGAAGACUUUGCAGCCUGCGGGUGGUAGCAUUCUGAAUCGUCAGUCUGUCUCGCUCCUGUAGCAAAUGCACGAUCCGGGAAAGCAUGUCCCAAGCUUUGUUCUGGAGAAGAUUUCUCCAGCUAUCAGAUGGUGUCUGUCAUCACAAUAGCUUAGGAGAUGCUGCUCACUCCAUCCUCCUCACUAAGUGUCACAGUACACUUGGGUAUGUACAAGUCUCUGAGAAGUCCAGCAGCAAAGACACCUUUGUGUUUUGCUGAUUCUAGCCUUUCCUAGACUAGAAGUCUUUUUUUCUAGUCUAGGAAAAGACUGUGGAAUCUUUUCUUUUUUUUCCUGAUACACACAUUCACAUUCCGUGGAACAUUUAGGACGUGGUUAUCUGGUCCUAAAGUAGUAAAGGUGAAGAUGUUGUGGGAGGUGCAAGAAAGAGCAGCAAGGAGUAGAUGGGGCACACUGCAAAGUGCGAUCCCCACAUACCUAAGUUAGUAUCAAUUACUACUAACAAAACUCGGCCAAGACUCUUUUGCAUUCGUUUUGUUUCUCUCUUUUACCCUGAUUAUAUUAAGAAAUAUGACAGGCCUGUGACUCACUGAUUAGACCAUCUUAGUCACUUUGGGUUGUCCCAGCAACAGGAGACUUAACUCUGACCAUAGGUAAGGAGCCCAGAGGACAGGAGAGCAGGGAUUUCUGAGGAUUUAACAAAUGCUUAUAAACAAAUGAUAUCACUUUGAACAAAGUAAUCAAAGUAUCAAAUGCUAUAAACACCACAGUAGGGCAAUGUGUGAAUCAUACUUGUGGUGAGACAUACAUAGAUCAGCUGCAAAGAGGAACUCAAUUCUGCAGAACCUCAGCUGGAGUAACUGAUGUGAAACAUGGACAGGGAAAUGGAAGGAAGUCAGCGGACACGGAAACUCUAGGAACUGAACUUUGACAAGGAACGCCGUCCAUAAUCCCAAGUCCUAUGACUUCAUAGAGGAAAAAAACCCUAGUGGAGCAGAACAGGGCCUCAUAGAGGGGCUGGGGCCUCACUGAGGGCUGGGAAGUUUGAUAGGACUUCCCUUGCUGGUAAGGAACAAAACUGGGUCUCAGGUUCAGGUUUGUAAAGCUAAUUUCAUACAUUUGCAGCAGAUGCUGUCAGUGUCCCUCCCCAAGCCCCUCAGCACUCAGCAUUCAUAGACAUCCUCAUCUUGCAAGCACCUGAGUCUCUCUCUGUAAGGUUUCUGUUGGCCUCAGGGCAGACCAGGGUACCAGGGAGGGCAGACCAGGGUACCAGGGAGCACAGCCCUCAAAGAAAGAUGACAGGAGUUGGUGUAAAUCUCAUGGCUUUCAUGUUACUUAGGGGGACCAAUGCUGAGGCAUGCUUAGCAUGAUCCUCUGUGAGACUGGGCCUCAGGUGUCCGCUGCAGCCGCCUGUUCAUUAGUGUGACAUGCACGGGAUUCCUUCCGUAUCCUGGCCCCUUUCUCUACUUCCCAACCGUGCUUCCUGAGACAUACUCAAAUCCUUGUCUCACACUUGGCUUCUGGGAGAAUCCAACUGCAAAUGCUGUGUUUUAUUUUUUAUUUAUGUAUUUAAUUAUUUGGAGAUAGGGUCUCCCUCUGUCACCCAGGCUGGAGUAAAAUGGCACAAUCCUAGCUCACUGCAAUAUUAAACUCCUGGGCUCCAGUAAUCCUCAGCCUCCAGGAGCUGGAACUACAGUCGUGCACAGCAAUGCCAGCUAAAGUUUCCUUUAAAUUUUUUGUAGAGUCAAGAUCUCACUAUUUCAGUCAGGUCUUGAACUCCUUGCCUCCCAAAGUUCUGGGAUUACAGCACUUGGCCUCCCAAAGUGCUGGGAUUACAGGCGUGAGCCACUGCAUCUGGCUGUUUAUUCCAUUAAAAUGAUUGAAGGAGUCUCUUGCUUUGGGAAUUUUGCUCCCGUGGUGAGAACACUAUGGGAAUGACAUCUCAAGAAUAUGGCUCCUUCAAAUGAAUUUAAAAUGGUCUUUCUAUUUUUGUCCAGUGGUUACAAUAGCUGAUGGGCUCGAGGUAAGGAGAUGCUAAGCUGCCAUUCUCUCCUUCAACCCAUGGCAUUUACUGAGCUUCUAAAUCAGUCAGGCCCUGGGCUGGACCCUGGGCAUGCAGACUGAAUCAGAGCCUUCAGGACUAGCAGGAGAGACAGGUAUAUAUAGUGGCAAGGGCAAUAUUUAUUCACUCAUUCAUUCUUUUUCCUUUUUUAUGUGCCAAAUCUUUAAUGAGGGCCUACCUUGUACUCAGGAACACCAGGAAUAAACAGAAAACAAAAAGAUAUCAUUUCUGGACUCAGUUCACCAUCUAGAGAAAAAAAAAAAAAAAAAAAAAGACCUGAAAUGGACAAAUACAGUACUGUUUGACAAAUGUCACGUAAGAAGAAGCCCAUGAUACUGAGGAUGGUAUAGGAGGGGCCGUAUCCAGGUUGAAGGAGUCAAAUAUGACAGCUGCCGUGAGAAUUACAAUCAGAAAACCAUGACCCGGAUGCUUAUCCUAUUCAUUGCUUGAGCCUGAGAACACAAACACACAGGGUGUGGCUGAAAUUCCUCUGAAAUUGUAUUGAUUUGAGAAAACUGCAAUCUUGUGUUAAAAUGUGAAUCAUACACAAGGAUGCAAAACAGUUACCGCUGACCAUAAAUCUAGGCUAUCAGAAUGGAAUCUGAUGGCUUGUCUACCAGACUGCAUUGUGAAACCAAUCAAAUGGGAGAUAGACUCACCACUUACCAAGUACCUCUGAGACACCAGGCACCCUGUGGGGUGCCCUACUCAUCAUCUUGUUUAACCAGUUGAUUGGGAAUAGCUCCAUUUUACAGAGAAAGACUGUUAGGCAGCUUUCUAAGAUGGCCCUAAUUAUUCCUUCCUUCUGGUAAUCCCCUUCCUUUAAAUGUGGGCUACACUUAAUUACCUGCUUUUAACAAACAGAAUAUAGCAAAAGUGAUGGGAUGUCAGGAGACUGAAUCAGUAACCAAAAACCUCCAGACAAAGAAAAGCCCAGGGCCAGAGGGCUUCACUGGUAAAUUUACCAAACAUUUAAAGAAGAAUUAGCACCAGUCUUUCUCAAACUCCUCAACAAAUUGAAGAGGAGAGAACACUUCUAAAUACACUUUAUGAGGCCAGCAUUACCCUAACAUCAGAGCCAGACAAAGACACAAGAAAAGAAAACUACAGACUAAUAUUUCUAAUGAAUCUUGAUGCACAAAUCCUCAAAAAAGAAGAAAACAUACUAGCAAACAUAAUUCAGCCGCACAUUAAAAGGAUUAAGCACCAUGACAAAGUGGGAUUUAUUCUUAGUAUAAAAGGAUAUUUCAACGUAAAAAAGUCAAUGUAAUAUAUCACAUUAAUAGAAUGAUGAGAAAAAAUCCACAAGAUUAUCCCAAUUGAUGCAUUUAACAAAACUUAAUACUCUUUCAUGAAAAAACACUCAACAAACCAGGAAUACAUGAAACUACCCCAACAUAAGACAGUCCACAAAUGAAAAGCUCACAACCAACAUAAUACUCAUGGUGAAAAGCUGAAAGCUUCCUCUAAGAUCAGGAAUGAGACAAAAAUGUCCACUUUUGAAUCAACCUGUAUUCAACAUAGUAUAAGAAGUCCUCGCCAGAAUUUUCAGGAAAAAAAAAAAAGAAAGAAAAAAAAGCCAGUCAAAUUGAAAAGAAAGAAGAAAAAUUAUCUUUGCUCACAAAUGACAUGAACUUAUAAAACUCCUAGAAUUAAUAAAUGGAUGCUGCAAUGUUGAAGGAUACAAAAAUCAACACACAAAAAUCAGUUAUGUUUUUAUAUACUAACAAUGAAUGAGCCAAAAAUGAAAUUAAAACAAUUCCAUUUACAAUAGCAUCAGAAAGACUAAAAUACCUAACAAUAAACUUAACCAAGGAGGUAAAAUGCUUGAGUAUUUAGACACUAAAAAUUAUAAGGCCUGCACGGUGGUUCAUACCUGUAAUCCCAGCAUUUUGGGAGGCAGGUGGAUCACUUGAGGUUAGGAGUUUGAGACCAGCCUGGCC
rnacentral:lncRNA from 1 species